rnacentral:rRNA from 1 species
CUACGGGGGGCAGCAGUGAGGAAUAUUGCACAAUGGAGGAAACUCUGAUGCAGCAACGCCGCGUGGAGGAUGACGCAUUUCGGUGUGUAAACUCCUUUUAUAUGUCAAGAAAAUGACGGUAGCAUGUGAAUAAGCACCGGCUAACUCCGUGCCAGCAGCCGCGGUAAUACGGAGGGUGCAAGCGUUACUCGGAAUCACUGGGCGUAAAGGACGCGUAGGCGGGAUAUCAAGUCAGGUGUGAAAUCCUACAGCUUAACUGUAGAACUGCACUUGAAACUGGUAACCUAGAGUAUGGGAGGGGGAGAUGGAAUUAGUGGUGUAGGGGUAAAAUCCGUAGAUAUCACUAGGAAUACCUAAAGCGAAGGCGAUCUCCUGGAACAUUACUGACGCUAAGGCGUGAAAGCGUGGGGAGCAAACAGGAUUAGAUACCCCAGUAGUC